UAUCAGUCUCACACUGUCACAUCUGUUGCAAAAGGGCCCUGUUUUGACACAGGGAGACUGGAAACAGCUUAUUUGCUUGCACCAUCUUAUUCCAUCUUAAUUUCUUUCAGGAGAUGCUGGCUACCCGUGCGGUCGGUGGCUAAUAACACCAGUUCACAGGCCGCGCUCACAGGCGGAGUGUGACUUCAAUCAAGCACAUGUCAGAACGUGGUCUGUGAUAGAGCGGACGUUUGGUGUCCUCAAGAGCCGGUUCCGCUGCCUUGAUAGAUCAGGAGGCAGCCUGCUGUACAGCCCCACCAAAGUGGCAAAUAUAAUCGGUGCGUGUGCUGUACUGCACAAUUUGGCGAACCGGCACGGCCUACCAGCUGAGGUGGCCGAUGACCUUGAGGACCCCGUCCAUCCACCGGAUCCUGUCCAACGUGCGGAUGCCCGAGGGAGUCAAGUCCGGGGACAAAUUGUUACUAAUUACUUUGCCUGAUCUCUGCGUGGGGAGGCCAGCACUGACAAGGAGCAAC